GACGUGCUCCGGGGUCGGUGAAAGUCCGAGCCGGCGGUGACAGUCCGCGACCCGCAUCCUGCGGUGGAGCCGGUGGAACUCCGGCACCGACAGUACAGCCUGGAUGAGAGGCGCACGUC
rnacentral:ncRNA from 2 species